AUUGAACGCUGGCGGCAGGCCUAACACAUGCAAGUCGAGCGGAUGAAGGGAGCUUGCUCCUGGAUUCAGCGGCGGACGGGUGAGUAAUGCCUAGGAAUCUGCCUGGUAGUGGGGGAUAACGUCCGGAAACGGGCGCUAAUACCGCAUACGUCCUGUGGGAGAAAGUGGGGGAUCUUCGGACCUCACGCUAUCAGAUGAGCCUAGGUCGGAUUAGCUAGUUGGUGGGGUAAAGGCCUACCAAGGCGACGAUCCGUAACUGGUCUGAGAGGAUGAUCAGUCACACUGGAACUGAGACACAGUCCAGACUCCUACAGGAGGCAGCAGUGGGGAAUAUUGGACGAUGGGGGAAAGCCUGAUCCAGGCAUGCCGGGUGUGUGAAGAAGGUCUUCGGAUUGGAAAGCACUUUAAGUUGGGAGGAAGGGCAGUAAGUUAAUACCUUGCUGUUUUGACGGUACCAGCAGAAUAAGCACCGGCUAACUUCGUG
rnacentral:rRNA from 1 species